AUCAUUUCACCAACCUUUAUCAUUAGCAGGAAUAUACAUUUUAUUCAGUACCAGAAGCUGUUUGCAGAUCCAUUCUUAAUUAUGCAAAAAACCCUUAUAACACAGGUAAUGGAGAAAUAUAUGGAGGGGAAGGGAAAAAAACCCCCAGAUGACAAAAUCCUGUAUUUUACAGACCGACUGAAAUAAUUUUAUUAUACCCUUUGCGACAUACCUACAGUGAGCACACACUGAACAUUAAAGAAGAACUGGCAAUCUUACAUAUAUAUUUGUGGAGUCCCCAGAUGU